CCACAUGAACAUCUUUUAAAGACUUGCAUUUUUAAUGUACCCAGUUACCCACUAGUGACUGAUCUUGUUCUUUUCUUUUUCUUGAAAGUUCUUAAGAAUUCUGGAACUGAACUAUGCAUUAAGAUGCAUUUGCCAAAGGUCAACAUCCCUUUAACUCAGUAAGUGGGUAAGUAUUGGAAAAAUCAAGAUCAGUCAUGUCCUUUCCCCCUCUGUCAACAUUCAGUCUACCUAAAUUAGGUGGAACAGCAUCAAUAAACACUCUCACGACCUUUUCUUCUGCGACAUACUCCUACACUGCCUUUUAGAGAAAAAAAAAAUGCUCCCACCUAUUAAACAUGCUCUUAAUAGGCUAACAAGAUAUAUGGGCUCUGCACCGCAUUCCAAUCGCUAUCUAAGGAAGUAAAAAAAAAAAAGAGUAGCAGGGACUGUCGGCAUGCAUACUAAUAGCUGGAAACUUGAUUUGGAGCAAGUGUGCUAAACAAAUGAAGGAACACUUAGCCUGCUAAUGAAGUAUUAGAUUUCGAACAAGUUGCCAAUGACAGGUAAUAAAGGUGGCCAACUUGUGAAUUGUAUAUUCAUAUAGGAAGCAACACUUUGCAAGUUUCGUUUGUCUAGUUGAGCUGUCAAUUAAGAAAGAUAUUGCCACUGCAAGGGUUAUUUUUCUAGCCCAGUAGUCAUUCAUAAAGCAUUUUUUAAUUGAUUAAUAUUUGUUUCCUUUCAACCAGUCAAGGGUAAGGUGACACCUGUCCACCGACAAUUCUAUUGCAGAGUGGACUAGUAGACAGCUGCGCAGUUUGAUAUGUCCUCCUUCCCCUAAUAUACAAGCAUUAGGCGCACUAACAAGCAAUGUGAUUUGGGGUAGAAAAAGUAUCUGGCCCACAAACUGAACAUACAAAGACUAUAUAUUGACCAAAAGCAAGAGAUUUUUUUUAUUUGUGGGCAAAUUUAGAUUUUAUUUUAGGUAAUGUAAAAAUUGGAGCUUAAUUACAUGAUGAGUUCUGCUAGAUACCAAAUUUGUUCUCCACUUAGACUACCAGAACACGUACAUUUAAGAAGUAAGCCACAACAGUAGAUAGGAAGCAUUUACGGAUAGCCUUCAUUUAUAUUACUGGAUGCCAGGGUAGCAUAAAUCUAUUAAUAACCAGGAAUAUUUCCAGUCAAAACAAGGCAGAGGUGUUCCUAAAAUCCAAAUAUUUCAGGUAAUCACUCUUCAGUUCACACAGCAACAGGUCCCACAAAUUCACUCCAGAUCCAGUCAAUAGCUGAAUUGACCGUUUGCGACAACUGUAUCGUGACAACAGGAACAAAAUGCAUGGAAAGGGGAUUGAAGGCAGGAGGGAUUAUGAACCUUGGGAAGUUGGAGUUGGAGAGCUUCUUCUCGCCGUACUUCCUCCACUGGUGCCCGUCAUCAUACGGAGCGUAAGUGUCCGAGGUCCAGCAGGGGAAACUUGAGGAAGCUGCGCUUCUGCGUACCUGAUCCUUUGCUGCUGGGUUCUGGCAGCCCUGUGGGCUGAUCCCAAGUCGCUGAGAUAGGUAGGAACAGAAUCUAGAGCCAUGGCAAGAAUGGUGAGCGGAGGGAGGCCGCUGACGAACUGAUGAAGAGGGAGGGAGAGAGGA